rnacentral:rRNA from 1 species
UACGAAGGAGGCUAGCGUUGCUCGGAAUCACUGGGCGUAAAGCGCACGUAGGCGGAUUGCUAAGUCAGGGGUGAAAUCCUGGAGCUCAACUCCAGAACUGCCUUUGAUACUGGCGAUCUCGAGUUCGGGAGAGGUGAGUGGAACUGCGAGUGUAGAGGUGAAAUUCGUAGAUAUUCGCAAGAACACCAGUGGCGAAGGCGGCUCACUGGCCCGAUACUGACGCUGAGGUGCGAAAGCGUGGGGAGCAAACAGG